UCGGCCGGGCGAAUAGUCCGGUCGGAUGACGGUACCCGCAGAAGUAGCACCGGCUAACUACGUGCCAGCAGCCGCGGUAAUACGUAGGGUGCGAGCGUUAAUCGGAAUUACUGGGCGUAAAGGGUGCGCAGGCGGUUCUGUAAGACCGGUGUGAAAUCCCCGGGCUCAACCUGGGAAUUCCGCUGGUGACUGCAGGGCUAGAGUACGGUAGAGGGGGGUGGAAUUCCUGAUGUAGCAGUGAAAUGCGUAGAGAUCAGGAGGAACACCGUUGGCGAAGGCAGCCCCCUGGGCCUGUACUGACGCUCAUGCACGAAAGCGUGGGGAGCAAACAGGAUUAGAUACCCUGGAAGUCCACGCUCUAAACGAUGAGAACUAGCCGUCUGGAGUCUUCGUGCUCUGGGUGGCGCAGCUAACGCGUGAAGUUCUCCGCCUGGGGAGUACGGCCGCAAGGUUAAAACUCAAAGGAAUUGACCGGGACCCGCACAAGCGGCGGAUGAUGUGGAUUAAUUCGAUGCAACGCGA
rnacentral:rRNA from 1 species